rnacentral:lncRNA from 1 species
GGAUUAUUGAUUCGGUACAAACUCAACGGUAUAUUGGACAAACUAUAACAAACUGACGAAGCAGAUAGCCUUUAUUUCGUGCCAUUGGCCUAUGAAAGAGAGGAGUUAUAAAGCACAAGGAUAGUUUUGAUUAUUUGGCAUGGGCUGGUCAAUACAAUAUUGAUCUAUCAUCUAACAUUACAGGUUUGGACUUGCCGGCAAUACUUCUAAUGGUUUUUGGAAUAUCUAUUUGAACUUAUCUAUUUCGGAAAGAAUAUGAUAGCUAUAUGAGCUCUUUUAGGAAAUUGGACAGUUACUGGAUCUUAUAUGCGGGGGAGAGUGUAGUCUGACGAUUUAAUUGUUUGUCAUUGUUAUUUGAUAUUAUGUGGAAAGUUAGAAGGAGCAAUUGAGAGAAGGUUGCUGGAAUUACAAAGACCAAG